GAUGAACGCUGGCGGCGUGCCUAAUACAUGCAAGUCGAGCGAACGGACGAGAAGCUUGCUUCUCUGAUGUUAGCGGCGGACGGGUGAGUAAAACGUGGAUAACCUACCUAUAAGACUGGGAUAACUUCGGGAAACCGGAGCUAAUACCGGAUAAUAUUUUGAACCGCAUGGUUCAAAAGUGAAAGACGGUCUUGCUGUCACUUAUAGAUGGAUCCGCGCUGCAUUAGCUAGUUGGUAAGGUAACGGCUUACCAAGGCAACGAUGCAUAGCCGACCUGAGAGGGUGAUCGGCCACACUGGAACUGAGACACGGUCCAGACUCCUACGGGAGGCAGCAGUAGGGGAUCUUCCGCAAUGGGCGAAAGCCUGGCGGAGCAACGCCGCGUGAGUGAUGAAGGUCUUCGGAUCGUAAAACUCUGUUAUUAGGGAAGAACAUAUGUGUAAGUAACUGUGCACAUCUUGACGGUACCUAAUCAGAAAGCCACGGCUAACUACGUG
rnacentral:rRNA from 1 species